ensembl:lncRNA
UGUAGUUGCGCGGGGGCCGGGCGCGCGCCCGGAGGACGAGCGGCUGCCGUUAGCGUUCGCCACUGGCCAUUGCGCGCUGGCGGCCAGCCCUCGGACGGUGAGGCCCUUCUGGCCUCCUGCGCUGCCUCGGCCUGUAACCCGGAAUGGUUGCGCGGGAGGUCGGGUCAGGGGCGGAGGCCGCUGGGUAAGGGCAGGCGUCGGCAUCGCUCAGCUCCGGCCCGCCCAGGCUCACCAGCUGAGAAGCCCCGAAUGGGGCUCCUGGUCACCCGAGGGGCUCCCCCGAGGCGGAAGUCUCUGGAAAACAAAGGAAUUCAAGAGGAGCUUCUCUAAAACUUGACCCUGCCAUGGCACAACUCUCCAGUUUUCUUCACUGUCUCCAGAACAGGAGUUUUUCUGGGACAGAUGGCACAAGAGCACCAGAAUCCUCCGCCAGGGCAGACAUUGUUCAGAUGUGGAUCUUGGGAGCCUCACCCCCUUGGAGCUCACGGACUGAGAACAAGGAGUUCCCCUCCCAUCAGGGACUUUCUGAAAGAUGAUCCCCAUGAGGGACCUCACGCAGACCCUGUGGGCACUAGGAAAUGCCUCAGAAUGUUCCAGAACCUUCAGCUGGCAUUGGGGACUCUCCCAGAGGUGAAGCCAAGCAGUUCUCCUCCCCAAGACAAGACCUUCCAGCAGAAGAGAGAAGGCAGAUGCUGUGACAGGGACAAGAGGUAGCCUGCAGCCAGGUGAGCAUCCUCAUUCCAGGUCAGGAGCGUGGCACGGGCAGAGAGCGUUGCUUUCACAC